UACGAAGGGGGCUAGCGUUGCUCGGAAUCACUGGGCGUAAAGGGUGCGUAGGCGGGUCUUUAAGUCAGGGGUGAAAUCCUGGAGCUCAACUCCAGAACUGCCUUUGAUACUGAAGAUCUUGAGUUCGGGAGAGGUGAGUGGAACUGCGAGUGUAGAGGUGAAAUUCGUAGAUAUUCGCAAGAACACCAGUGGCGAAGGCGACUACCUGGCCUGUUCUUGACGCUGAGGCGCGAAAAGCUAGGGGAGCAAACGGGG
rnacentral:rRNA from 1 species